GCUUACGGCCACACCCUCCCUGAGCACCGCCCGAUCUCGUCUGAUCUCGGAGCUAAGCAGGGUCGGGCCCGGUUAGUACUUGGAUGGGAGACCGCCUGGGACUACCAGGUGCUGUAAGCU
rnacentral:rRNA from 1 species